UACCCUCAAGUGUCACCUCACUUAAAGACUACUUGCUUACAAAAUCAGACAUAAAAAUACAAAAGUGUCACAGCACACUAUUACUGAAAAAUUGC